GCUGGGCGUGGUGGUGCACGCCUGUAGUCCCAGCUACUUGGGAGGCUGAGGCAGGAGAAGCGCUUGAACCCAGGAGGCAGAGGUUGCAGUGAGCUGAGAUCGUGCCACUGCACUCCAGCCUGGGUAACAGAGCGACUCAGUCUCAA
rnacentral:sRNA from 1 species